GUCGCUAGGUCCGUACCGCUGCCUCCCGGGAUGCUGCGGGAACUGAGUUAAAAUUUCCCGAGAUAAGAGCUUUUCAAGUUUAAACGCCGCGAUUGGCGACCCGUCCCGGGGCUGCGCGUUACCGCCAGCUUUCAGCCGCCGAGCUCCGUGCCGAUGCCCUGCGCUCCGCUCCCGCUGGUGCCACCUGCCGCCCGGCUGCUGCCUUGCAGCUCCGCCGCGCCGAGCCGAGCCGUCCGUACGGCGUAACGCCGCCUCCCGUGUUUCGCUGUUCGUCGGUUUGUUUUGCUUGGAAAGUUGGUCGUCAGAUAAAAGCAGCUUGAUUUGAUUAAAGACAAGCUAUCUUUGUCGUGUCAGAAGUCAUUCGUCUUCCCAAGAUGAUUAUUCAAAGGAUUUUGAAGAUCUGAAUAGUGUACCACCCUCCUGCCCUUCAAACUGCACAUCAGUCUGCUGCUCUCUGUGCCACCCGUGAGUUUGUAGAGGAGGGAAAAGAGGAGCCUUGGUGAGAGGGAAGUUCUGUGUCCCAUGGUGGCAGCUGCACUGUGUCUUGCUGGUUUGAGAGCUACUGAAGGAAGGAAAAGCACGAUUCUACUUAGCAGCCAUUUCACCAGGAAUUUGGGGAUUGAACACAACAGAGGGCCCUGAAGAGGCUAAAGCUGCUCUCUCUCCCAAGCAGAGCGUAUCAAAAUACUGCAGGAGGACUGAUCUCAGUGGUUGCUGCAGCCUAAUGAGGGCUAGGGCCCAGGGAGUUAACUGCUUGACAGAAAUCAUCCAGAUGAGUGGACAGAGCAGAAAAUCCAAUGAUUCGGACUUAUGUGUGGCAAUAGCUGGUGUGGUGCAAUUAAUUCCCCAUUGGUUAGCAGUCACAGCUUGUGACAGCACAGCCUGCGUCUCCCUGCCUCUCCUAUCUGGUGUUUCUCCUCCUCACCUGAGCUUAGUGAACAGUUGGUUCCAUUUAUUGUCUCCUGCAGCACUGAACCUUUCCUUCAAAAUGGUGCUUUGUAUCUAGAAUCCAUCCAUGGAUCAAUGUAAACUAAUUUCUUUGUUUCUGUGAUCUAAAUAAAUGCUUUUGUAAUUUAGUAACA
rnacentral:lncRNA from 1 species